rnacentral:rRNA from 1 species
CGGGGGGAGCAAGCGUUGUUCGGAUUUACUGGGCGUAAAGGGCGCGUAGGCGGUCAGCACAAGUCAGUUGUGAAAUCUCCGAGCUUAACUCGGAAAGGUCAACUGAUACUGUGCGACUAGAGUGCAGAAGGGGCAACUGGAAUUCUCGGUGUAGCGGUGAAAUGCGUAGAUAUCGAGAGGAACACCUGCGACGAAGGCGGGUUGCUGGGCUGACACUGACGCUGAGGCGCGAAAGCUAGGGGAGCGAACGGGAUUAGAUACCCCGGUAGUCCUAGCCUUAAACGAUGAAUGCUUGGUGUCUGGGGUUAUAUAGUCCCCGGGUGCCGUCGCUAACGCUUUAAGCAUUCCGCCUGGGGAGUACGGUCGCAAGACUG